rnacentral:tRNA from 1 species
AGAAAGGUAAGCUAAAUUUAAGCUAACAGGUUCAUACCCUGUUUAUAGAGAUAAAGACUCUCCUCUCUA